rnacentral:tRNA from 1 species
GCCAGCGUGGUGUAGUGGUUUGAGGGUUGGACUAUGACUCUGGAGAUCAGGGUUUGAUUCCCUGCUUGAGCA